UACGGAGGGUGCAAGCGUUAUCCGGAUUCACUGGGUUUAAAGGGUGCGUAGGUGGGUUGGUAAGUCAGUGGUGAAAUCUCCGUGCUUAACUCGGAAACUGCCGUGGAUACUAUCAAUCUUGAAUAUCGUGGAGGUAAGCGGAAUAUGUCAUGUAGCGGUGAAAUGCUUAGAUAUGACAUAGAACACCAAUUGCGUAGGCAGCUUACUACACGAUCAUUGACGCUGAGGCACGAAAGCGUGGGGAGCAAACAGG
rnacentral:rRNA from 1 species